AAAAACAUCACCCCCAGUAUUAUAUUGAGGGGCUAUGCCUGCCCAGUGAUAUAAUUAUAUUUAACGGCUGCGGUACUCUGACCGUACAAAGGUAGCAUAAUCAUUUGCCUACUAAUUGUAGGCUGGAAUCAAUGGCUCGACGAGGAGAAAACUGUCUUUCUUUAUAAAUAUUGAAAUUAGUAUUUUGGUGAAGAAACCAAAAUAAAUUAAUGGGACGAGAAGACCCUAUUGAGCUUUAGUUUUAGCUUUAAGUAAUUAAUAGUAAAGGCUUUGGUUGGGGCAACUGAUCUUACAAUAAGACAAGGUCAUAACAUAAAAAGACUAGAGCCAAUAAUUGACCCAUUUUUAAUGAUUAUAAGAAAAAGUUACCAUAGGGAUAACAGCGUAAUUUUCUUUGAGAGUACAUAUUGACAAGAAAGUUUGCGACCUCGAUGUUGGAUCAAGAUUACCUGAGGGUGCAGCCGCUUUCAAGGGUGGKUUCGUUCAACCUUUAAAAUCUUACGUGAUCUGA
rnacentral:rRNA from 1 species